rnacentral:lncRNA from 1 species
UGCGGUUGAUACUACUUUGACCUUCCGAGUGCAGCGACAGUGAUGUGUGUUCUGAAAUUGUGAACCAUGAGUCUAGUACUUAAUGAUCUGCUUAUCUGCUGCCGUCAACUAGAACAUGAUAGAGCUACAGAACGAAAGAAAGAAGUUGAGAAAUUUAAGCGCCUGAUUCGAGAUCCUGAAACAAUUAAACAUCUAGAUCGGCAUUCAGAUUCCAAACAAGGAAAAUAUUUGAAUUGGGAUGCUGUUUUUAGAUUUUUACAGAAAUAUAUUCAGAAAGAAACAGAAUGUCUGAGAAUAGCAAAACCAAAUGUAUCAGCCUCAACACAAGCCUCCAGGCAGAAAAAGAUGCAGGAAAUCAGUAGUUUGGUCAAAUACUUCAUCAAAUGUGCAAACAGAAGAGCACCUAGGCUAAAAUGUCAAGAACUCUUAAAUUAUAUCAUGGAUACAGUGAAAGAUUCAUCUAGUGGUGCUAUUUACGGAGCUGAUUGUAGCAACAUACUACUCAAAGACAUUCUUUCUGUGAGAAAAUACUGGUGUGAAAUAUCUCAGCAACAGUGGUUAGAAUUGUUCUCUGUGUACUUCAGGCUCUAUCUGAAACCUUCACAAGAUGUUCAUAGAGUUUUAGUGGCUAGAAUAAUUCAUGCUGUUACCAAAG